UACGUAGGGAGCAAGCGUUGUCCGGAAUCAUUGGGCGUAAAGCGCGCGUAGGCGGCCUCAUAAGUCCGCUGUGAAAGUCAAAGGCUCAACCUUUGAAAGCCGGUGGAUACUGUGAGGCUAGAGUACGGAAGAGGCGAGUGGAAUUCCUGGUGUAGCGGUGGAAUGCGCAGAUAUCAGGAGGAACACCAAUAGCGAAGGCAACUCGCUGGGACGUUACUGACACUGAGGCGCGAAAGCGUGGGGAGCGAACAGG
rnacentral:rRNA from 1 species